rnacentral:rRNA from 1 species
UACGUAGGGUGCAAGCGUUGUCCGGAAUUAUUGGGCGUAAAGAGCUCGUAGGCGGUCUGUCGCGUCUGCUGUGAAACUCAGGCUUAACCCUGAGCUUGCAGUGGGUACAGGCAGACUAGAGUGCGGUAGGGGAGACUGGAAUUCCUGGUGUAGCGGUGAAAUGCGCAGAGUAUCAGGAGGGAACACCGGUGGCCGAAGGCGGGUCUCUGGGCCGUAACUGACGCUGGAGGAGCGAAAGCCGUGGGGAGCAAACACGG